rnacentral:rRNA from 1 species
CCUACGGGGGGCAGCAGUGGGGAAUAUUGGACAAUGGGCGAAAGCCUGAUCCAGCCAUGCCGCGUGUGUGAAGAAGGCCUUCGGGUUGUAAAGCACUUUCAGUGGGGAAGAAAGCCUUGGGGCUAAUACCCUCGAGGAAGGACAUCACCCACAGAAGAAGCACCGGCUAACUCCGUGCCAGCAGCCGCGGUAAUACGGAGGGUGCGAGCGUUAAUCGGAAUUACUGGGCGUAAAGCGCGCGUAGGCGGUCUGAUAAGCCGGUUGUGAAAGCCCCGGGCUCAACCUGGGAACGGCAUCCGGAACUGUCAGGCUAGAGUGCAGGAGAGGAAGGUAGAAUUCCCGGUGUAGCGGUGAAAUGCGUAGAGAUCGGGAGGAAUACCAGUGGCGAAGGCGGCCUUCUGGACUGACACUGACGCUGAGGUGCGAAAGCGUGGGUAGCAAACAGGAUUAAAUACCCGAGUAGUC